CGGAACAGUUGACAUAAACUCAAUAUGCCAAACAAUAUACUGUGCUGUACUGGAACACUGUACUGGAGGAGGGUCAAAUGAUAAGAUUGCCAGCCUCAGCUACAACCCUCUUGUGAUGCAAGCGGCUGCAGACGGUGCUGUCUGCACAUGAGGUAAACCUCAGCCCCGCUUCCUUGGCUACAGCAGAUUGAACUGAGAAUUGACGCCUGACCCAAAGGCAACCAUUCAUGGAAUAUCCAAGUAGCCAAUGAAAUGGGCUGAUGCAAGAGCUCCGCCCCCGGUGGUCAGUUUCCUAGACGAUGACCGGCCAGUGGAACAGAACCUCUUUCACGCAAUUAGAAUUUGGGACCUAUUGGGUGUGGGAGAGGGGGAAGUAAUGAAACGGUAGGGUGGAAAUGGGCAGACACCCUGAGAACCGUCAGAAAGCCCUGUCCACAUGGCGCUGGGAGCCAUGACAAAACAGGAACAACGGCGUGGAGGAGAAGAAGUGCAGAGAGGGUUUGGCAGCGUGAGCAGAGAAAAGCAGAGGCAGGGCGCAGCUGAGUCACUAUACUGGCAGAGCAUUAGAGAGGGAGCAACAGAUGCCUACUGCUGAAGCAAUGUCAAGAAAAACAGGUGGCUGGAGGUAUACUGUGUCCUGAACGACAUUCCCAGCUCCGCCAGGCAGCUGUUAAAACUGCUUCCUGCUCUUCCCCACUUCCUCCGGUAUCCUUGCGAUGAACCACGUUAACCCGAGUCACCAGAGCACAUCUCUCUUCCUGGCAACCUGAAAAAGCCUGAUCAACGCCAUGUAAUAUUCAUAUCUCUAUUAUGGCACGUAUCAGGUGGCGUUAUGAUGAUUUGUUUUUAUGAUUCUCCCUGACUACACUCCUUAAGGUCAAGAACUGUGUUCAGUGCCUUCUUAAAACAUCCUCAGCAACCGGAUAGUAUACCAGCACAUAGGAGGUGCUGGCGAAUCGUUGGAUGAAUGACUGGAGAAAAGUGUGAGUGUGCAUGUGGCCAAAAGAGCCACGGGAAGUUCAGUUAGCAUUCCUCUAAAGGAGUUUAUCCUCACAAACAUUUUAUGAGGAAGAUAAAGCAGGCGUCGUUAAUGUCCUGGUGGGGAAGAGAAAACUCAAAAUGACACAGUACCUUUCCUGGGAGCACAUAUUUCGUUAGAUUAAAUAAAGACCACUGGUGCUUGAAACACUACUAUGCCAAAUCCACCAACUAAGUGUGAACAGGUUCACAUGCCCGAUGAUAGAACAAAAGCCACAUUACAAAUGAUGCAGUCAUUGAAAAUGAAGCAUUUGCACAAUCUGAAAGAGACGAUCAACGUGAACUAAACUUAUUGUGGCUAUCAUUUCUUAUGUCAAUCAAAUCAUUACGCCAUACACCUUGACCUUAUACAGUGCUGUACGUCUAUUCUAUACCAAUAAAACUGAAAGAAAAAAAAAGACCAACCUAAUAAAAUAUUGAUUUUUACCUUUU